CAGUCGCCACGGUAAUACGUAGGGUGCGAGCGUUGUCCGGAAUUAUUGGGCGUAAAGAGCUUGUAGGCGGUCUGUCGCGUCUGCUGUGAAAACCCGAGGCUCAACCUCGGGCCUGCAGUGGGUACGGGCAGACUAGAGUGCGGUAGGGGAGAACGGAACUCCUGGUGUAGCGGUGGAAUGCGCAGAUAUCAGGAAGAACACCGAUGGCGAAGGCAGUUCUCUGGGCCGUAACUGACGCUGAGAAGCGAAAGCGUUGGGAGCGAACAGGAUUAGAUACCCCAGUAGUCCCUGUCUCUUAUAC
rnacentral:rRNA from 1 species